CUUUGAACGCACAUUGCGGCCUCGGGCCUUCCCGUGGCUUCGUCUGUGUGAGGGUCGGAUCAUAUAUCAAGAGAGGAGAAUUUUGUCGAUUCUACCUCGUUUUGACUGUGUCGGGUCGUGGGCAGAACGCACGAAAAACGAGAAACGUCUUUUCGGAGCAAAUGGAACAAAAAGGAAACGACAAAAAGAAACAACGUGCACGCGUGCGCAUUGAAAUGCCGGUUUGUGUUUGCGUAGUUUCGGAAUACCACUGCCGAUGCACGUGACUGAGGGGGAAGCAAAAGAAGUUACCCAAUGUGAGAAAAGGAAACAAAAAAAGAGUGUCAUUCAUUCGCUGAAGGCUGAUGGCGGGCGUGGAAGAAUACACCAAUUCUUAACCCGUUUCGAGCCUUCGAUGGGCGGAGAUUGACGAGGAAACUCGGUUUCUUUUUUUCUGAGGAUUGUGGAACUUUGCGCUUUCCUUUUUCAGGUGCUGAAAGUGGGUUCGAGAACGAGGAACGCGAACAGGAGGAAACUGGCACGGAUUUGCGCGUUGAAACGCGGCGUGUUGCUUUUUUCUCGCUUCUUUCCGUCUCCGGAUGAAAAGACACGUUGAGUGCGUCGUAGCCUUCCGUCAGUCUAAGUCCUUCGCGUCCCCGAUGGAUGCUGGAGCUAUCCAGUAGGGGAAUGCCGUUGGAAAUGCGAUGCUACUUUCUCUUGUGGACGAGAUUUCGAAUCUCGGAGGGAAACGAGAAGCUGUGCAUUUGCGAAAAGACUUCUUCUUCGUUGCUUGUGUUGCGACGAAGAGAACUCUUACCGAUAUCAUUGUCGACCUCACAUCAGGCGAGACAA
rnacentral:misc_RNA from 1 species